AUUGAUCUUGGCUUAAGUACUGGUCCUGAAUUUAUCAAACUCGUUGUAAAAUGAGUUAAAAGUGAGGCUGAGCGCAGGGCCAAAACAAGGCUGAGACAAAACAUUCUUCCUUUAACUUGUCUGUGUUUCCCAGAGAAUGUGUUCUCAUUAUUUUGUCUGCUGUUUUGUACCUUUGGACAUUCCACCAAUGAUGAAAUUCAGACAGUUCUAUCAGAUUUCGCUUCAAAAAUUUUGGACCUUUGUUACUAGGUACAUAAACAUCUGAGGUGUUUAUUGGAGCUCUUUGCCUAGAACUGAUAAUUGGAUUCAUGGUAUUCUGGAGAACAAGGAAGAAAACUGAAGCCCAGAAAGCUUAAUAUAUUACCCAAAGAGUUAGUCCACAUUGAACUGGGAGUUAAUCCUUGUCUGUCUGGCUGGAAAGCUUUUGCUCUGUAUCUUGGAUGAAUAAACUAAACCUUAGGGAAUCUUCCUAGAAGAAACCAUAUAACGCCUCCUGUACGAGAAGUUAAAUUACAACACAAAGAUUGCUUGGUGAGCAUGUGAUCAAAACAGGGCAAGAUGAAGACCUUUAGAGGCCACAAGCAUUUUAGUGUGCCUCCCAACUUCCCUUAUAUUAUUCAAAAUAUAAACAAUAAAAUCUACAAAGAUGUGAAAGAAGUCCAACAAAAGCUUUAUUUUUUUUAUGAUGAAUACUUUUAAAACUUCAUUGAAAUAUCAAAUAUCAUAUUCUUUUAAAACGAUUUUUUUUUCUUUUUGCAAUUUGUUUUGUUGGUAUCCAAAAUACACAGUUUUUCUGCUGGGCUCCGAACAAGAGGAGUUAAUUUUAGUCCUUAGAGUUUUGACUGCAACAAGC
rnacentral:lncRNA from 10 species